rnacentral:rRNA from 1 species
UACGGAGGAUCCAAGCGUUAUCCGGAUUUAUUGGGUUUAAAGGGUGCGUAGGCGGCCUAUUAGUCAGGGUGAAAGACGGUAGCUAACUAUCGCAGUGCCCUGAUACUGAUGGGCUUGAAUGUACUUGAGGGUAGGCGGAAUGUGACAAGUAGCGGUGAAAUGCAUAGAUAUGUCACAGAACACCGAUUGCGAAGGCAGCUUACUAAAGAUGAUGACGCUGAGGCACGAAAGCGUGGGGAUCAAA